rnacentral:misc_RNA from 1 species
GAAAUGCGAUAAGUAGUGUGAAUUGCAGAAUUCAGUGAAUCAUCGAAUCUUUGAACGCACAUUGCGCCCCUUGGUAUUCCAUGGGGCAUGCCUGUUCGAGCGUCAUUUGUACCCUCAAGCUCUGCUUGGUGUUGGGUGUUUGUCCCGUCUCCGCGCGUGGACUCGCCCCAAAGUGAUUGGCAGCCGGCGCACUGGUCCCGGAGCGCAGCACAUGUCGCGCAAACGAGUGCCUUGGUACGGCGGCGUCCAUAAGCCCCUCUCUCACGCUCUUGACCUCGGAUCAGGUAGGGAUACCCGCUGAACUUAAGC